rnacentral:tRNA from 1 species
AGCUCAGUUGGUAAAGCGCUCGUUUAGCGUACAAGAGUCCUGGGUUCGAAUCCCAG